rnacentral:lncRNA from 1 species
CCCGCCAGGCUCAGAAGACUUAUGUCAGGAAUGGCUCCAGGAGUUCUGGUGGCAGUCUCCCCUGCUAGCACUGGACCAGUAAAGAAGGUGCAUCCAUGGAGUAAGGCUAAGGAGCUUUCACAGAAUGAAGGAUCUGCAAGGCUUCCAUUGGAGAAUCAGAAAAUAAAAUUAAAAGCGGUGAUUUCCCAGCAAGCCUAUAAAGUGCUGGAGAAGCACAUUUGACUUUAAAGCCUUCUAAACAACACCUAGUUUUUUGGAAUGAGUUUGCUAAUGGGGAGCCUGCAUAAAUGCCUCUGUCACUUGGGUGUGUAUAAUCAUAAUUGCUGGAAAUUUAUGUGACUUUAGAAAACAUGGAAAGACAGCUACACAAAGAUGUAAAGUGUCUUUACAGAUUUAAAUAUCACCAUAUAUAGCAUAAGGUGUGUGUUUUGGGUUGCUGGUUUACUUUUUUUAAUCUGUAUAGAUUUAUCUGUUCUUGUUGCUUUGUGGAACAAUAUGAAUUUGUGAGCUUCAAGGUUG